rnacentral:rRNA from 1 species
CCUACGGGUGGCAGCAGUGGGGAAUAUUGCACAAUGGUCGAAACCCUGAUGCAGCAACGCCGCGUGAGUGAUGAAGUAUCUCGGUAUGUAAAGCUCUAUUAGUAGGGAAGAAAAUGACAGUACCUGACCAAGAAGCCCCGGCUAAUUCCGUGCCAGCAGCCGCGGCAAUACGUAGGGGGCCAGCGUUAUCCGGAUUUACUGGGUGUAAAGGGAGCGUAGACGGCUGCGCAAGUCAGAAGUGAAAGCCUGGGGCUCAACCGCGGAACUGCUUUUGAAACUGUGUAGCUAGAGUGCAGGCGAGGUAGGUGGAAUUCCUGGUGUAGCGGUGAAAUGCGUAGAUAUUAGGAAGAACACCGGUGGCGAAGGCAGCUUACUAAACUGUAACUGACGUUGAGGCUCGAAAGCGUGGGGAGCAAACAGGAUUAGAUACCCUUGUAGUC